GUGGGAGUAGCAAAGCUGGCUAAUGCAACGGCCUGCAAAGCCGUCAUCCGUUGGUUCAAAUCCGACCUCCCACUCCA
rnacentral:tRNA from 1 species